ensembl:snRNA U6 U6 spliceosomal RNA
GUGCUCCCUUCUGCAGCACACAUACUAAGAACAUGCAGAGAAGAUCAGCAGGCCCCUGCACAAGGAUGACAUGCAAAUUCAUGAAGCAUUUUGUAUUUUU